rnacentral:rRNA from 1 species
GCAGGCUUAACACAUGCAAGUCGAGCGGAGCGAGGGUGCUUGCACCUUAGCUUAGCGGCGGACGGGUGAGUAAUGCUUAGGAAUCUGCCUAUUAGUGGGGGACAACAUUCCGAAAGGAAUGCUAAUACCGCAUACGCCCUACGGGGGAAAGCAGGGGAUCUUCGGACCUUGCGCUAAUAGAUGAGCCUAAGUCGGAUUAGCUAGUUGGUGGGGUAAAGGCCUACCAAGGCGACGAUCUGUAGCGGGUCUGAGAGGAUGAUCCGCCACACUGGGACUGAGACACGGCCCAGACUCCUACGGGAGGCAGCAGUGGGGAAUAUUGGACAAUGGGCGGAAGCCUGAUCCAGCCAUGCCGCGUGUGUGAAGAAGGCCUUUUGGUUGUAAAGCACUUUAAGCGAGGAGGAGGCUACUUAGAUUAAUACUCUAGGAUAGUGGACGUUACUCGCAGAAUAAGCACCGGCUAACUCUGUGCCAGCAGCCGCGGUAAUACAGAGGGUGCGAGCGUUAAUCGGAUUUACUGGGCGUAAAGCGUGCGUAGGCGGCUUUUUAAGUCGGAUGUGAAAUCCCCGAGCUUAACUUGGGAAUUGCAUUCGAUACUGGGAAGCUAGAGUAUGGGAGAGGAUGGUAGAAUUCCAGGUGUAGCGGUGAAAUGCGUAGAGAUCUGGAGGAAUACCGAUGGCGAAGGCAGCCAUCUGGCCUAAUACUGACGCUGAGGUACGAAAGCAUGGGGAGCAAACAGGAUUAGAUACCCUGGUAGUCCAUGCCGUAACGAUGUCUACUAGCCGUUGGGGCCUUUGAG